AUAUGGGAAUUUAGACAUAAAAUUACAUAAGAAUACCACAUAUGGAUACGUCUCAAAAAAAUUUGCCACGCGACAUAUAUUUUCGCGAUGCUAUUUAUGGCCUUGAACAAAUCAAAAACACUUUGACAUAUGCUAAAUCACAUGUAAAUACAUACCUCAGGAAAAGUUAUAUCAAUGACAUCAUAAUUGUGUAGCGAAUCGCACUAAAUAUUCUCGCAUUAUUUGUUUUUCUUCGUAACCGUUCCAGAAUUAAGUCAUUACUCAAUUAUCUCCCCUGAAUGCUCUUCUUCAGUGAGUAUAAGCCGAAGACUGGUUCACUACAUAUAGUUACAGUCUUUACCAAACACAAUUUAAGUGAACAUAACCCGUCUUAAAUAUAUUGCCGAAUCUUAGAUUUCUGUCGAAUUUAUUUGCUUUGAUCUUUUCGAUAUCUUAUUGUUAUUAUUAUCCUGACAAAUCACAAACGCUUGUUAAAAAAGUAUUUGUUUUAAACAUUAUAGUUGGCAUCUCUAUUCUUCCAGUAUUCUCGCGGUAUUUCAAUAACGACACCCUACUGUUUAUUUGUCAGAAUAUGUGACGCAUUUUCAUUCGCUCUCAGAAAGCAUUCUAUGCAUAGAUGGUGACGUCACUUCGUUAUUGUGAGUAAGACCGGUGUGUACACAAUGUCUCAGAAAGACGUUUUACGUGUGAUUAUGAGCAAUAUUCUGAAGCUGUUCUGCGAAGCCGAAGGCAAGAGCUGAGCAUCAUACAAGCCAUUCUAUCCAGCAAAACUGACAGUUUUGGUUUACAGAAAUCAACAAAGGAGGGAUUCCUGAUCUAUCAAAUUUCCAAGCUAUACACACAGUUAUUAUCUGUGGUGAUCUUUAUUGGUUCUGCUUGUUUACUUGGAUGGAACAUGUGUGAACUUUUAUAGAACUUUGAAAAGUCUAUAUAUGUCUAUCUAUAAACAAAAAUCAGCUAUUGUAUAAUAAGAUCAGAUGUGCAAACAAUGUCAAAGGGUUGUUAAAUUAACAAUUUGAAGGCAAUUAUGCUGAAAAAAAAUGGAAGUUCCCAUGCAAAUUUUGUCUGUAUAUCGACAAGUGUCUGCCGAUAAUUGUCAAACUAGUAAUACAAAACUUACCACAAGUAUGUAAAAGCACUAAGUACCUGUGAUCAUUUUUAGUAAGAUAGUGUAAUUCUAAACAGUAGCAAAUAGCUUGUUUAGUAAAUGCAUAAUGUAAUUAAUAUGAUUUCCGUUCUAUUGUGUAAUUAAUAAAUUGGUUGUUACUUGUUAAUCCAUGAUAAAUGUUUUAUGGCUAGUACAAAACCAGCAAUGUUAAUUUUGUAAAAGGUAAUACAAUAACACCACUUAGUAAUUUCAUAUACGUAAAUAUUCUUGAAAUGUAGGUUGAUGAUUGUGUUUUAGUUUUACUUAUUUUGUAACUAUUAUUUUAUGUGCAAAGAAAUGAUGUGAAGUGUUUUGUAUCUCCACACAAUACCACAUACCUUUUUAUAUAUGUACUGUGUUAUGUGUUAUUUGAAUGUUUAAAUAAAAAAAAAUGGAUGAUAUAACAUGAUGCAUUCUAAUAUUUGCAUUCAUAUUGUAACUAUAGAGCUAAGUGUAUGCAGUUUAGACUGUGAUUUUAGAAUUGCUACAAAAUGGCUAGUUUUUUAGUGGCGACAAAAUUUAAACUAUUCAACAAUAGUUUGCGAAAGAAAAUUAAAAACCUGCAAGAUACCUGUAUUUAUUAAAUAUUUUAAUUGCGAAUCAAGUAUGUUGUUAUGCUGUUACACAUAAUUAUACAUUGAUAAUAAAUAAGAAGACAAUUA